UGGCUCAGGACGAACGCUUGCGGCGUGCCUAAGAAAUGCAAGUCGAGCGAGGUUGAGGCUUCGGCCAAAAACCUAGCGGCGAACGGUCGCGUAACACGUAAGCAACCUGCCCCAAAGACCGGGACAACAUUCCGAAAGGAGUGCUAAUACCGGAUGUGGCCUCUUUGUUGCAUGACAGGGAGAUUAAACCAGGCAACUGGCUUUGGGAGGGGCUUGCGGCCUAUCAGCUAGUUGGUGGGGUAACGGCCUACCAAGGCGACGACGGGUAGCUGGUCUGAGAGGAUGUCCAGCCGGACUGGGACUGAGAUACGGCCCAGACUCCUACGGGGGGCAGCAAUUAGGAAUCUUGCGCAAUGGGCGAAAGCCUGACGCAGCGACGCCGCGUGAGGGAGGAAGGCCUUCGGGUUGUAAACCUCUUUUAUCCGGGAAGAACAAAAUGACGGUACCGGGUGAAUAAGCCACGGCUAACUCCGUGCCAGCAGCCGCGGUAAUACGGAGGUGGCGAGCGUUGUCCGAAGUUACUGGGCGUAAAGCGCGCGUAGGCGGGUGAUUAAGUGAGGGGUGAAAGGCUGAGGCUCAACCUCAUGUUUGUCCUCUCAUACUGAUCGUCUUGAGUGAGGCAGGGAGAAGUGGAAUGGCUGGUGUAGCGGUGAAAUGCGUAGAUAUCAGUCGGAACACCGGUGGCGAAGGCGGCUUCUUGGGCCUUAACUGACGCUGAGGCGCGAAAGCUGGGGGAGCGAACGGGAUUAGAUACCCCGGUAGUCCCAGCCGUAAACGAUGGAUACUAGGUGUCGGGGGUAUCGACCCCUCCGGUGCCGCAGCUAACGCAUUAAGUAUCCCGCCUGGGGAGUAC
rnacentral:rRNA from 1 species